rnacentral:rRNA from 1 species
UACGUAGGGUGCAAGCGUUGUCCGGAAUUAUUGGGCGUAAAGAGCUCGUAGGCGGUUUGUCGCGUCUGCUGUGAAAACUGGAGGCUCAACCUCCAGCCUGCAGUGGGUACGGGCAGACUAGAGUGCGGUAGGGGAGAUUGGAAUUCCUGGUGUAGCGGUGGAAUGCGCAGAUAUCAGGAGGAACACCGAUGGCGAAGGCAGAUCUCUGGGCCGUAACUGACGCUGAGGAGCGAAAGCGUGGGGAGC